UCUCUAGUUGAAGCGUUGAACAGCUGUUUUUGUGUUGAACGUGCAAAUUUAUCAUUGCACAAAAAAUUAAAUCACGAUUACUUUUCAAUAUAAAUAUUUACAUUUUUUAUUUGAAAAAUGACUACAUUACGCCCAUUCACCUGCGAUGACCUCUUCAAAUUCAAUAAUGUUAACUUCGACCCACUAACCGAAACUUACGGCCUUUCGUUUUAUACACAAUAUUUGGCUAGAUGGCCUGAAUACUUCCAAUUAGCUGAAUCCCCAAGUGGGCAAAUAAUGGGUUACAUUAUGGGCAAGGUUGAAGGUCAUAUGGAAAAUUGGCACGGUCAUGUAACUGCUUUGACCGUUUCACCGGACUACAGACGUCUAGGCUUAGCUGCUUUACUUAUGAAUUUCCUGGAAGAUGUCUCCGAAAAAAAACGUGCUUAUUUCGUUGAUCUUUUUGUGCGCAAGAGUAAUCAGGUAGCAAUCAAUAUGUACCAAAAUUUGGGCUACAUAAUUUAUCGUACUAUACUUGAUUACUACGCUGGCGAUCACGACGAAGAUGCUUAUGACAUGAGGAAGGCACUCUCGCGAGAUGUAGAAAAGAAAUCUAUUAUACCAUAUACCCACCCGGGCUGUAACUAAUUAUUUGCAAUCUACAUAUGUAUAUCUACUAGUAAACAGUUAAAAUCAAAGGCAUGAGCUAUGAAAUGCUUUUCCAAGAGUAAAUAAUGCACCACAACAUAACACAUUCUAACCAUAACAAGAUAACAACACAUCAACUACACCAAGCAAACCAAAUGCACAUAUCUUCGAAUUAAAGUCGAUGUUGAAAUGGUUUCAAAAAUUGCAAGUCCAUGGUAUCACAACUGAUGUAAAUGCUAAUGCUAAUUUAUUUUAGACAUCAUUCAUAUCAGUUCUUGGUUUUAUAAAUAUAUGUACUUCAGAAGAUUUUAUUAAAAUUAUUACAUACUUAUACAUAUAUGUAUGUACAUA